rnacentral:rRNA from 1 species
UUGAACGCUGGCGGCAGGCCUAACACAUGCAAGUCGAACGGUAACAGGAAGCAGCUUGCUGCUUCGCUGACGAGUGGCGGACGGGUGAGUAAUGUCUGGGAAACUGCCUGAUGGAGGGGGAUAACUACUGGAAACGGUAGCUAAUACCGCAUAACGUCGCAAGACCAAAGAGGGGGACCUUCGGGCCUCUUGCCAUCGGAUGUGCCCAGAUGGGAUUAGCUAGUAGGUGGGGUAACGGCUCACCUAGGCGACGAUCCCUAGCUGGUCUGAGAGGAUGACCAGCCACACUGGAACUGAGACACGGUCCAGACUCCUACGGGAGGCAGCAGUGGGGAAUAUUGCACAAUGGGCGCAAGCCUGAUGCAGCCAUGCCGCGUGUAUGAAGAAGGCCUUCGGGUUGUAAAGUACUUUCAGCGGGGAGGAAGGGAGUAAAGUUAAUACCUUUGCUCAUUGACGUUACCCGCAGAAGAAGCACCGGCUAACUCCGUGCCAGCAGCCGCGGUAAUACGGAGGGUGCAAGCGUUAAUCGGAAUUACUGGGCGUAAAGCGCACGCAGGCGGUUUGUUAAGUCAGAUGUGAAAUCCCCGGGCUCAACCUGGGAACUGCAUCUGAUACUGGCAAGCUUGAGUCUCGUAGAGGGGGGUAGAAUUCCAGGUGUAGCGGUGAAAUGCGUAGAGAUCUGGAGGAAUACCGGUGGCGAAGGCGGCCCCCUGGACGAAGACUGACGCUCAGGUGCGAAAGCGUGGGGAGCAAACAGGAUUAGAUACCCUGGUAGUCCACGCCGUAAACGAUGUCGACUUGGAGGUUGUGCCCUUGAGGCGUGGCUUCCGGAGCUAACGCGUUAAGUCGACCGCCUGGGGAGUACGGCCGCAAGGUUAAAACUCAAAUGAAUUGACGGGGGCCCGCACAAGCGGUGGAGCAUGUGGUUUAAUUCGAUGCAACGCGAAGAACCUUACCUGGUCUUGACAUCCACGGAAGUUUUCAGAGAUGAGAAUGUGCCUUCGGGAACCGUGAGACAGGUGCUGCAUGGCUGUCGUCAGCUCGUGUUGUGAAAUGUUGGGUUAAGUCCCGCAACGAGCGCAACCCUUAUUGCCAGUUACUACGCAAGAGGACUCUGGCGAGACUGCCGUUGACAAAACGGAGGAAGGUGGGGAUGACGUCAAAUCAUCAUGCCCCUUAUGACUUGGGCUACACACGUGCUACAAUGGCGCAUACAAAGAGAAGCGACCUCGCGAGAGCAAGCGGACCUCAUAAAGUGCGUCGUAGUCCGGAUUGGAGUCUGCAACUCGACUCCAUGAAGUCGGAAUCGCUAGUAAUCGUGGAUCAGAAUGCCACGGUGAAUACGUUCCCGGGCCUUGUACACACCGCCCGUCACACCAUGGGAGUGGGUUGCAAAAGAAGUAGGUAGCUUAACCUUCGGGAGGGCGCUUACCACUUUGUGAUUCAUGACUGGGGUG